rnacentral:rRNA from 1 species
GACGACCGCUGGCGGCGUGCUUAACACAUGCAAGUCGAACGGAAAGGCCCUGCUUUUGUGGGGUGCUCGAGUGGCGAACGGGUGAGUAACACGUGAUUAACCUGCCCUUGACUUUGGGAUAACUUCAGGAAACUGGGGCUAAUACCGGAUAGGAGCUCCUGCUGCAUGGUGGGGGUUGGAAAGUUUCGGCGGUUGGGGAUGGACUCGCGGCUUAUCAGCUUGUUGGUGGGGUAGUGGCUUACCAAGGCUUUGACGGGUAGCCGGCCUGAGAGGGUGACCGGCCACAUUGGGACUGAGAUACGGCCCAGACUCCUACGGGAGGCAGCAGUGGGGAAUAUUGCACAAUGGGCGGAAGCCUGAUGCAGCAACGCCGCGUGCGGGAUGACGGCCUUCGGGUUGUAAACCGCUUUCGCCUGUGACGAAGCGUGAGUGACGGUAAUGGGUAAAGAAGCACCGGCUAACUACGUG